AUAAGUCAUACACCUUCAUUUUCAUUAUAUCCUUUUUUUAGAAGCAAGUCACUAAAUGGACAAUUAUUAACAAGUAAUGAAAGUGAAGAUGAUGAGAUUUUCCGAAGAAAAGUUAAAAAAGCAAGAGGAAAUAUUUUAAACUCUCCUGAGGAUCAGAAAAAUAGUGAAGUUGAUUCUCCACUUCAUGCUGUCAAAAAGCGCAGAUUUCCUAUAAACAGAUCAGAAUUAUCAUCUAGUGAUGAGAGUGAGAAUUUUUCCAAACCAUGUUCACAAUUAGAAGACUUCAAGGUUUGUAACAGGAAUGCCAGAAGAGGCAUCAAAGUCCCAAAGAGACAGAGUCACUUAAAGCAUGUAGCUAGGAAGUUUUUAGAUGAUGAAGCAGAACUUUCUGAAGAGGAUGCAGAAUAUGUUUCAUCAGAUGAAAAUGAUGAGUCAGAAAAUGAACAAGAUUCCUCAUUACUUGACUUUUUAAAUGAUGAAACUCAACUUUCACAGGCUAUAAAUGAUUCUGAAAUGAGAGCUAUUUACAUGAAAUCUUUGCGUAGUCCAAUGAUGAACAAUAAGUACAAAAUG
rnacentral:sRNA from 1 species